GAUGAACGCUGGCGGCGUGCCUAAUACAUGCAAGUCGAGCGAACGGACGAGAAGCUUGCUUCUCUGAUGUUAGCGUCGGACGGGUGAGUAACACGUGGAUAACCUACCUAUAAGACUGGGAUAACUUCGGGAAACCGGAGCUAAUACCGGAUAAUAUUUUGAACCGCAUGGUUCAAAAGUGAAAGACGGUCUUGCUGUCACUUAUAGAUGGAUCCGCGCUGCAUUAGCUAGUUGGUAAGGUAACGGCUUACCAAGGCAACGAUGCAUAGCCGACCUGAGAGGGUGAUCGGACACACUGGAACUGAGACACGGUCCAGACUCCUACGGGAGGCAGCAGUAGGGAAUCUUCCGCAAUGGGCGAAAGCCUGACGGAGCAACGCCGCGUGAGUGAUGAAGGUAUUCGGAUCGUAAAACUCUGUUAUUAGGGAAGAACAUAUGUGUAAGUAACUGUGCACAUCUUGACGGUACCUAAUCAGAAAGACACGGCUAACUACGUG
rnacentral:rRNA from 1 species